AGAUUGAACGCUGGCGGCAUGCCUUACACAUGCAAGUCGAACGGCAGCACGGGAGCAAUCCUGGUGACGAGUGGCGAACGGGUGAGUAAUACAUCGGAACGUGCCCAAUCGUGGGGGAUAACGCAGCGAAAGCUGUGCUAAUACCGCAUAAGAUCUACGGAUGAAAGCAGGGGAUCGCAAGACCUUGCGCGAAUGGAGCGGCCGAUGGCAGAUUAGGUAGUUGGUGAGGUAAUGGCUCACCAAGGCGACGAUCCGUAACUGGUCUGAGAGGAUGAUCAGUCACACUGGAACUGAGACACGGUCCAGACUCCAGGGAGCAGCAGUGGGGAAUA
rnacentral:rRNA from 1 species